UGGGACGGGAUGCUCAAU
rnacentral:siRNA from 1 species